ACCCCACUGCUAUCGGGAUAGGACUAAGACAUGCUAGUUGAGCGCUUCCAGCCAAAACGGGAGCGCAGCGCACAGCUCAGUAACACGUGGCUAAUCUGCCCUUGGGACCGGAACACCCCCGGGAAACUGGGGCUAAUUCUCGAUAGGUGAAGAACGCUGGAAUGAGUCUUUGCCAAAAAGACGUUUACGUUAUGCUCGUAGACGUCGCCCAAGGAUGAGGCCGCGACCGAUCAGGUUGUUGGUGAGGUAAUGGCUCACCAAGCCUUUUACCGGUGCGGGCCGUGAGAGCGGGAGCCCGGAGAUGGGCACUGAGACAAGGGCCCAGGCCCUACGGGGCGCAGCAGUCGCGAAAACUUUGCAAUACACGAAAGUGUGACAGGGCUAUCCCGAGUGCCAUCCGCUGAGGAAGGCUUUUACCCAGUCUAGAACGCUGGGGGAAUAAGGAGAGGGCAAGUCUGGUGUCAGCCGCCGCGGUAAUACCAGCUCUCCGAGUGGUGUGGAUGUUUAUUGGGCCUAAAGCAUCCGUAGCUGGCUGGGUUAGUCCCUUGUUAAAUCCACCGAAUUAAUCGUUGGAUUGCGGGGGAUACUGCUCGGCUAGGGGACGAGAGAGGCAGACGGUAUUUCUGGGGUAGGGGUGAAAUCCUAUAAUCCCAGGAGGACCACCAGUGGCGAAGGCUGUCUGCUAGAACGCGCCCGACGGUGAGGGAUGAAAGCUGGGGGAGCGAACCGGACUAGAUACCCGGGUAGUCCCAGCUGUAAACGAUGCAGACUAGGUGUUUGGACGGCCACGUGCCGUUCUAGUGCCGCAGGAAGCUGUUAAGUCUGCCGCCUGGGGAGUACGAUCGCAAGAUUGAAACUUAAAGGAAUUGGCGGGGGAGCACCACAAGGGGUGAAGCUUGC
rnacentral:rRNA from 1 species